CCUUGUACACACCGCCCGUCAAGUCAUGAAAGUCGGUAACACCCGAAGCCAGUGGCCCAACCGCAAGGAGGGAGCUGUCGAAGGUGGGAUCGGUGAUUAGGGCU
rnacentral:rRNA from 1 species